rnacentral:rRNA from 1 species
UACGUAGGUGGCAAGCGUUGUCCGGAUUUACUGGGCGUAAAGCGUGCGCAGGCGGUUCGUUAUGUCCGAUGUGAAAGCCCCGAGCUCAACUUGGGAAUGGCAUUGGAAACUGGCGGGCUGGAGUGUGGCAGAGGGGGGUGGAAUUCCACGUGUAGCAGUGAAAUGCGUAGAGAUGUGGAGGAACACCGAUGGCGAAGGCAGCCCCCUGGGCCAACACUGACGCUCAGGCACGAAAGCGUGGGGAGCAAACAGG